UUGGAGGGCAAGUCUGGUGCCAGCAGCCGCGGUAAUUCCAGCUCCAGUAGCGUAUAUUAAAGUUGUUGCAGUUAAAAAGCUCGUAGUUGAAUUUCGGGAUUAGUACGUCGGUCGUGCCUUAGGUACGUACUGGUGUUACUGGUUCCUACCUUCUGACGAACCAUCAUGUCAUUAAUUUGGUGUGGUGGGGAAUCAGGACUGUUACUUUGAAAAAAUUAGAGUGUUUAAAGCAGGCUCGCGCUUGAAUACAUUAGCAUGGAAUAAUGAAAUAGGACGUUGAUCCUAUUUUGUUGGUUUCUAGGAUUGACGUAAUGAUUAAUAGGGAUAGUUGGGGGCAUUAGUAUACAAUUGUCAGAGGUGAAAUUCUUGGAUUUAUUGAAGACUAACUACUGCGAAAGCAUUUGCCAAGGAUGUUUUCAUUAAUCAAGAACGAAAGUUAGGGGAUCGAAGACGAUCAGAUACCGUCGUAGUCUUAACCAUAAACUAUGCCGACUAGGGAUCGGAUGAUGUUAUUUUUAAUGACUCAUUCGGCGCCUUACGGGAAAC
rnacentral:rRNA from 1 species